AGCGACAUGAUAAUAAGGUAUUUACUGUCAUAACAAUCGAUAGACAAUUGAUGACGAUUAUCACUGAUGAAUUUGCAUUCCAGGUGGUGAACAGGAUGAAGAGGGAACAGGUACUCUCCACAAUUCAUGAAGUAGUGGUGCCCCAUCAGGAGAACAAAGAUCUGUCAUUUUUAUACUGGGCCUAGAAGGAGGAAAUUUUUGAAGAAAUGGAAAUAUGAUGGACGAUUAAAUCGUGAUGAAGCACGGGGAAGGCCCAGUUAAUGUUCUACAUCUACCCUGUAGAUCCGAAUUUGUUUGAAAAGAGGCGACAAAUUCGGUUCUAGAGAGGUUUGUGUGGUGCAUACAGAGCUACAAUGGUCUUUAAAAAAAUAUAUCAUGUGCUCAUGAAUUAUUUUUUAAUAAUAACAAAUUCCAGUCGACUAGAUUACAGUCGAUAAAAUAGAAUUCUGUAGGCCAGAUAACAUGUGAUUGUCCUUAUCGAAGAUGUAAUUAAUUAUUGGAGGCUAUCCGAUUUUUUUGCGAAUGCUAACUCGUCAUUUCCAUUUAUUUACAUAAAGAUUAAUAAAAAUUAUGAAAAUAUAUCCAGACACCUUCUCCCGUCACAACUGCAUUUCAUUGAAUAGAAAUACAAACAAUAUAUUUUAA